rnacentral:lncRNA from 1 species
UGGGCUUAGUCUCUCACACCUCUGACAUCUCCGUGAGAAGAGCUUCUGGAGUAGCUGCUGCCUCUGCCACCUGGACCCUAGGAGAGCAAAGAGACGAGGACACAGGCUCACGGUGUGGGGCAGAGCCACGUUGGUGUCAGCCUCAACUGGACAACCUGGACGACCAAGCCAAACACAGCACAGACUGGCUGUCUUCGUAUGAUUGACACUAAAUCCAACAGUGGGCAGAGAUCUUGAAUCCCCUGCGAUCCCUACAACCAAUCCGUAUUUUCGCUUUGCUGAAAAGGAGACAUGGAUGAUGACACAACACUGACGACCUCAGUAGAUUCCCAGUCUUCAGAUGUUAUCACUUUGAACCUUACUGGAAAGUCACAAGGACCCUCAAAAGGGAAUAAAGACAGACUUUGUAUCUCUAAAAUAUCACCACUGUCGUCUUCUUCCUGGUGACUUUGAUAACUACACUGGCCACAAUUUUAGCAGGUGAGUUGUCCACUUCCCAAAUGUGCUCACGUUAACUCUACCACAAAACAUUACAUCAUAUGUGUGCCUUUCAUACUGUAGCUCAAAAUUAAGGGUGAUUUCAGACAUCUUUGUACAUGGGAUGAAUGUAUGUUCCUUCUUCUAUGAAAUGAGGGUAAUA